GACGAACGCUGGCGGCGUGCUUAACACAUGCAAGUCGAGCGGACAGGCCCUGCUUUUGUGGGGUGCUCGAGUGCCGCACGGGUGAGUAACACGUGAGUAUCCUGCCCUUGAAUUUGGGAUAACUUCAGGAAACUGGGGCUAUUACCGGAUAGAAGCUCCUGCUGCAUGGUGGGGGUUGGAAAGAUUCGGCGGUUGGGGAUGGACUCGCGGCUUAUCAGCUUGUUGGUCGGGUAGUGGCUUACCAAGUCUGUGACGGGUAGCCGGCCUGAGAGGGUGACCGGCGACAAGGCGCCUGAGAUACGGCGCAGACUCCUACGGGAGGCAGCAGGGGAGAAUAUUGCACAACGGGCGGAAGCGUGAGGCAGCAACGCCGCGUGCGGGAUGACGGCUUUUGGGUGGUAAACCGCUGUCGCCUUUGACGAAGCGUUAUUGACGGUAAUGGGUAAAGAAGCACCGGCUAACUACGUG
rnacentral:rRNA from 1 species